UUCCGUUACUCAGAUGACUACAGAGGAUGACUUCAGUAUUAGUCAGCACAUAAGCAAGAUGAAGACAGAAUGUGAGAAAAAGAAACCUAAUAUCUCCAUGCUCCAGGAUAAAAUGAAGAGAACCGACAGGGAGAGAGAUGUCUACAUAAAAGAGAGAACCACUCAAGAAAUACUGAUUCAGUACCCUGCCUUGCGCUUACUGGCAAUUAUUUUUUCAGAAAUGAAAACAAAAUAUAAUACUGAUGUGGACAGAAGAAUUUUGACUGGAUUUGGGACCACUUCAGAGAAAAUACUGACUGAGGCACAAAGAAGUGGUGUGGCUAAGGAUCUACUGACUAUGUACAACACUGCACUUCAAUCACAUGCUGAAGAGGCACACAAAGGACUCAUGGUCAUUGCAGGAAUCCUUGCCGUACCUGUUGCAUGAAGAUCCUGCUGGACUGUAUGUGAUAAACGAGCCUCCACAGAACCUCACACCAACUAUAGUGAUUACAGGAGACCCAUUUGGUGAAAGCAGCAUUGCGGUUUUUCUUGAUGGCGAAGAACUGUUAGCUGAUGAACCUGAUGACAUAACCAUGGGUGUAGGCCUUACUAUGAGUACCUACUUUCUAUUCAACAUUAAGUACAGGAAACCAAUUAAAAGUACACUGACUUUUCUGCAGUAUCUGUUGGGCAUUCAGAAGGAGAACCUCAAGCUACCCACAGUUGUGUUGAGGUUUAUCAAUUAUUUAAAAUGCCCCUGUAAAUAUUCCCAGAGUCAAAAUGUUACCACUGAAUGCAUUGUACAUUGAAUUGCAGUAAAUAUGAAUUGUUUUUUGAGGAACCUGAAAUAUGUUUUAAAGUUAUAGGAUAUUUAAGUCAUAUUUAUCUUCUACUGUUUGUCAAGAUGUAAACUCUUAAUGUAGAACAAUAUUAACAUUUUACAUGUGC